rnacentral:rRNA from 1 species
GACGAACGCUGGCGGCGUGCUUAACACAUGCAAGUCGAACGGAAAGGCCCUGCUUUUGUGGGGUGCUCGAGUGGCGAACGGGUGAGUAACACGUGAGUAACCUGCCCUUGACUUUGGGAUAACUUCAGGAAACUGGGGCUAAUACCGGAUAGGAGCUCCUGCUGCAUGGGGGGGGUUGGAAAGUUUCGGCGGUUGGGGAUGGACUCGCGGCUUAUCAGCUUGUUGGUGGGGUAGUGGCUUACCAAGGCUUUGACGGGUAGCCCGCCUGAGAGGGUGACCGGCCACAUUGGGACUGAGAUACGGCCCAGACUCCUACGGGAGGCAGCAGUGGGGAAUAUUGCACAAUGGGCGGAAGCCUGAUGCAGCAACGCCGCGUGCGGGAUGACGGCCUUCGGGUUGUAAACCGCUUUCGCCUGUGACGAAGCGUGAGUGACAGUAAUGGGUAAAGAAGCACCGGCUAACUACGUG